GGCUCACCAAGGCGACGAUCAGUAGCGGGUCUGAGAGGAUGAUCCGCCACACUGGGACUGAGACACGGCCCAGACUCCUACGGGAGGCAGCAGUGGGGAAUUUUGGACAAUGGGCGCAAGCCUGAUCCAGCCAUGCCGCGUGUCUGAAGAAGGCCUUCGGGUUGUAAAGGACUUUUGUCAGGGAGCAAAACUUACUGGUUAAUACCUGGUGAGGUUGAGAGUACCUGAAGAAUAAGCACCGGCUAACUACGUGCCAGCAGCCGCGGUAAUACGUAGGGUGCAAGCGUUAAUCGGAAUUACUGGGCGUAAAGCGUGCGCAGGCGGACUUUUAAGCCAGAUGUGAAAGCCCCGAGCUUAACUUGGGAAUUGCGUUUGGAACUGGGAGUCUAGAGUCUGUCAGAGGGGGAUGGAAUUCCACGUGUAGCAGUGAAAUGCGUAGAGAUGUGGAGGAACACCGAUGGCGAAGGCAGUCCCCUGGGAUAAGACUGACGCUCAUGCACGAAAGCGUGGGGAA
rnacentral:rRNA from 1 species